CCUACGGGAGGCAGCAGUUUGGAAUUUUGGACAAUGGGCGAAAGCCUGAUCCAGCGACGCCGCGUGGACGAUGAAGGCCUUCGGGUUGUAAAGUCCUUUUGCUCGGGAACAAUCCGCCAACCGGCGGAUGAGCGUACCGAGAGAAUAAGAGGUUGCUAACUCUGUGCCAGCAGCAGCGGUAAUACAGAGACCUCAAGCGUUAUCCGGAAUCAUUGGGCGUAAAGCGUACCGAUAGGUGGUUUAGUGUGUCAGAAGUGAAAUCUUCAGGCUUAACCUGGAGAAUGUCUUUUGAAACUACUAGACUAGAGGGGCAAAGAGGAAGCUGGAACAAGCGGUGUAGUAGUGAAAUGCGUUGAUAUCGCUUGGAACACCAAUAGCGUAGGCAGGCUUCUGGGUGUCACCUGACACUGCUAGGACGAAAGCGUGGGGAGUGAAUGGGAUUAGAUACCCCAGUAAUCCACGCUGUAAACGAUGAUAAUUAGGCGCUAGAAAGUAUCGACCCUUUUUAGUGCCAUAGCUAACGCGUUAAAUUAUCCGCCUGGGGAGUACGGCCGCAAGGCAAAACUACAAGAGAGUAGACGNGNGAGAGNGACGACGACGACGACGGAGGAGGAGG
rnacentral:rRNA from 1 species